CCAACAAGAAUGAACAUAGUGAGCAAGUGUCAUUUUGGUAGCUGAAGCGUCCUUGUGGAACAUGCCCAAGACUGGUAUCUCUGGAAGGAGAGGUAGAUUGAUUUCCAUGUGGAGUGGUAGUCACUGUAAAUCAAAGGAGAAAAGCUCACAGAGAUUGAAGCAGCAAACACUGGGCUUGCAUGAGUCUGCACCAGGUCUUCUAUGUAUGUAUUGUGGCUUUAGUAUAUUGGGAGUACUUUUUAUUUCUAUUUUGUGGAACCGCUGAUAUUGUGAAUAAGUGCGUCUCUGAGUUUUGGGUUUUUUUGUGGACUCUUUUCCUCCUAUUGGUUUACAUUUCCAACUUCUAUUUGAUAGUUGUGUUUUGUCAUAUUCUAAUUUAUUUUGUUGUGCUUUCCUCUUAUCUCUCAGGAUCGUGUUAUUUUCUUGUCUUGAACAAGUUUAUUUAUUGAAACAAUCUGAAAAUAGUAAUGAGGAUUUCAUUAAGAUCUAAUAAAUUGUAAGAUAUUAAUAUGAAACAUUAAGACUUUACAUGAAAACACUAUGUGUUUUACAACAGCCUUGUAGCAGCUUGCUUCUAGACUUGUCAACACUUGCUUGUUAGAUUGUGAACCCUGCUCCAGAUCAUGCUCUCCUCUGGAUCACAGCAGAGGCCUCUGUGAUCACAUCCCAUAUGUACAGCACAGUUCAUGGGGACAAGAAACCACAGCAAACAGCACAAAAGUUAGAUCACAUAGCGCUCCAUAGGGGCUUGCUUUAGUCAAAAAGGGCCCAGUAGGUUCUGACUUUAACAGCAAAAGAAAGCUCAGCGUGGUCUCACCUUGCGCUGCCGGCCAUCCUUUUUGAGCAGCAUGAGACAGAACUAUGACUUCACCCUGGAAGCCAGUCAAAGACUGGGCAGUCCUUCCUUCCUACUCCUGCCAUGAGAGGUGAAGACAAAACUGAAAGCAGACACCUAAAUGAGGUAUCCAUAUGGCUGCUGCUCAGAUGCAAGCCUAAGACUCUUGUGGAAGAAAGAGGACAGUCCCACAACCCUGAUGAUAAUAGUAAGGUGGCCUGGGAUAAUUUCUCGCCCCUGCUUAAGGAAGAUUGGAAGCACAGAGCCCUGUCCUGGACUGUGCAUUGGGCUGGACACAUUGUAAACACUGAAAAGAGGCAGUCCCCUCUAAAUCUUCACAAAGCAUGUACACUCAAAUAUGUACACAAUGACUUCAGAAAGUUUAAAAGAAACUCGAAAAACUGUACACAGUAUUUAAAUUGUCUCAGGAGCUGCUUCCCUGCUACAGGAGGAAUGUGAUGUUGCCAGAUGGCUCCUUCUCUGGAAGGAAUAAGAGGCUUUGGGCCAGACUCAGAGGCACCUACCCAUCACAUGCCUUGCUAACCCAUAGCAAAGCUGCCAGGUGAACCCAAGAGAUGCAGGGGGCAAGGCACCUAGCAGCUCUGGAUGAAAGCACUGCACCUAAAGGAAGAUUUCUGGCUGAGACGUUAAUUUCAUUAUCAAACUGAAGAUCAAUCCAUUUUGACCCCCUCAGAAUUUCAACAGACUGAUUUAUGGGAAUUCCUGACCUGGGAUCUCAUGGGGCCCAUGAGAGAGAUGUAGGACACCCAGCCCAGUCUUAUUUUGCUUCUCUGGAAAUGCGAAAUGUUUAAAAACAUUAAAGACUGAUGUGUUCUUCCGAAGGCAGACUCAAGCUCUCCCACAGGCAGGCAGGCCACAGAUACGUGAACAGCCAUCGGGUUUGACAAGGCCAGCUGAGCCAGAAGACCACGGGGAGAACAAGAUAAGGAAGGCGGAAGGCACCCACGGGCUUGAGGUUGGAGGCCGGGAAGUGAGAACUAGCUGCCUAUUGAAGGAGAUGUCCAAGCCUGAACCCGCUGCUAUUGCUAUUGCCUGGCAAUGUGAAUGGGAGCAAGGUGAUCAUCUGCGAAUUCCAAAGCCGUACCGACAAGGUCUGCUCAGCCCCUGGCGUCUGAGUGGCUUUUCUGAGAGCAGCUGAGGAGGCAGAGGGCUGAGGUGGCCUGGUUUUGGUGGCCCACUACACUCACUUGGUUGGGUAGUCAGCCUUGUUGCAGCACGAGUUUGCUGUGCUGCUUCUGAGCCUGAUGGGUGAACGGGGCUGGACUCUGCAGCACAGCUUCUGUGCCAGUGGCUGCAGACUGCAGAAACCAUGUCACUAAAGCUUUUUCGGCUUUGGAGGCCUGCAGAAAAGAAAGCUCUCCUGGCGAGGCGAGGUAGGAAGAAAUGAGAGUACCUGCAUGGCUCAUGCCUGGCAGGUGGCUGGCUCACUGUUUUGGUA
rnacentral:lncRNA from 1 species